rnacentral:rRNA from 1 species
AGCAGCCGCGGUAAUUCCAGCUCCAAUAGCGUAUAUUAAAGUUGUUGCAGUUAAAAAGCUCGUAGUUGAAUUUCGGGAUCAAUGCGUCGGUCGUGCCUCGGUACGCACUAACGACAUUGGUUUCUCCCUUCUGACGAACCGUGAUGUCAUUAAUUUGGUGUUACGGGGAGUUAGGACUGUUACUUUGAAAAAAUUAGAGUGUUUAAAGCAAGCAAU